rnacentral:lncRNA from 1 species
GAAGGGAGUGAGCAGGAUGCUGUGAGAGAGGGUUACUAUUCCAAGUGGCACCUGGGCCAGCAGCAUUGGCAUCACCUGGGACUUGUGAGCAAUCCAGCAUCUCAGGCUCCACUGCAGGUCUCCUAAAUCAGAAUCUACAGUUUAACAAGAUCCCCAGCAGAUGUGUGUGUAAGCUCAAGAACCUGUUGAGAGGAGCACCUAGCAUAAGACCUGGCUUGUGACAGAUCUGCGACCCUCUAGCUGGGUGACUUUUAGACAAGUGAUCUGACCUCUCUGAGCCAGAGUUUCUACCUUGUAAAAAAAAAAAAAUCCCUUCCUGCAUGGUCAGCUGUCAUGAAAAGGACACAUGGUGAUGGGCAGACAAAGACAAGGCUUAGCUUCGUGUUUGACUCCUAGGAGCGCCCAGUUCAUGGAGGCUGCUGCUGUUACUAAUCUGUUUCCAUCUUCCCCUGGGAAUCCUGAGGUUUAUCUGUGAGCCUUUGGACUGCUGUAUGGACAACAUACUCUGCAGUAGCAUGAAGAAGUGAGUGAAGACCCUCCCUUGAACCGUUUGCCCUGAAAGAACAGAAGUCACAUCUUGAUAUCUCAGUGCCUUUACAGUGCCAGGGAUGGGGUAGGUGCUGAGCGCCUGGUAUGUGCUCACCCUAUGCUGUACAACACACAGAAAGCCCCACAGGGUUUGAACUGUAAUUAGGUAGAGGGUGUGUGGGACUUGCCUUGGGUCUC